rnacentral:rRNA from 1 species
UGGAUAACCGUUGGGAAACCAGAGCUAAUACAUGCUAAAAAGCCUCCGGGCUGUAUUUAUUAGUUAUUACCAUAGCCUUCGGGUUUUGUGAUGAAUCAUAAUAACUGAUCGAAGCGCACUUGUGUGUGCUAAAUCUUUCUAGUUUCUGCUCUAUCAGCUUGAUGGUAGUGUAUUGGACUACCAUGGCGAUCACGGGUAACGGGGAAUUAGGGUUCGAUUCCGGAGAGGGAGCCUGAGAAACGGCUACCACGUCCACGGUAGGCAGCAGGCGCGUAAAUUACCCAAUCCUGAUUUAGGGAGGUAGUCACGAGAAAUAUAGUAGCCGAUUUUCGGUAUCUAACUGAGGUGUACAUAAACCGUACUCCGAAUGCGAUUGGAGGGCAAGUCUGGUGCCAGCAGCCGCGGUAAUUCCAGCUCCAAUAGUGUAUCUUAAUGUUGUUGCUGUUAAAAAGCUCGUAGUUGAACUUCUGUCGGUAGCGACGACUCUUAGUCUUAGCUGCCGGCAUCCGCCCUGGAACAUCAUACGCCGUUAAAAGCUGUGGUGAGAAGGGGUAUUUUACUUUGAAGAAAUUAGAGUGUUCCAGGCAGGCGAUGCUUGCAUAGUACAGCAUGGAAUAAUGGAAUAGGACUAGCCAUUUCAUUGGUUUGAUGGUCUAGUAAUGAUUAACAGGGACAGUUGGGGGGCAUUCGUACUGGGGCAGUCAGUGGUAAAAUACGAUGACCUGCUCAAGACGCACUAAUGCGAAAGCAUUUGCCAAGGAUGUUUUCAUUAAUCAAGAACGAAAGUUAGGGGAUCAAAGACGAUUAGAUACCGUCGUAGUCCUAACUAUAAACUAUACCGACUAGGGAUUGGCAGGGGGAUGUCCCCUGUCAGCACCUAAUGAGAAAUCAAAGUCUUUGGGUUCAGGGGGGAGUAUGGUCGCAAGGCUGAAACUUAAAGGAAUUGACGGAAGGACACUACCAGGAGUGGAGCCUGCGGCUUAAUUUGACUCAACGCGGGGAAACUUACCAGGGCCAGACUCGAGAAUGAUUGACAAUUUGAUAGCUUUUUCUUGAUUACGAGGAAGGUGGUGCAUGGCCGUUCUUAGUUGGUGGAGUGAUUUGUCAGGUUAAUUCCCUUAACAAACGAGACCUUAACCUGCUAACUAGACGCCGCACUUUCGUGGGGUGGUCUUCUUAGAGGGACUAUGUACUAAAUACAUGGAAGUUUGAGGCAAUAACAGGUCCGUGAUGCCCUUAGACGUCCUGGGCCGCACGUGUGCUACACUGACUCGCGCAACGAGUGUUUACCUAACUCGAAAGAGGUCGGGGAAUCUUGUUAGUACGAGUCGUGCUAGGGAUUGAUCUUUGCAAUUUUGGAUCAUGAACGAGGAAUUCCUAGUAAGCGUAAGUCAUCAUCUUGCGCUGAUUACGUCCCUGUCCUUUGUACACACCGCCCGUCGCUCCUA